rnacentral:rRNA from 1 species
UGAGUGCUUUGGGGUGGGGUGACUGCGUACCUUUUGUAUAAUGGGUCAGCGACUUAUAUUCUGUAGCAAGGUUAACCGUAUAGGGGAGCCGAAGGGAAACCGAGUCUUAACUGGGCGUUAAGUUGCAGGGUAUAGACCCGAAACCCGGUGAUCUAGCCAUGGGCAGGUUGAAGGUUGGGUAACACUAACUGGAGGACCGAACCGACUAAUGUUGAAAAAUUAGCGGAUGACUUGUGGCUGGGGGUGAAAGGCCAAUCAAACCGGGAGAUAGCUGGUUCUCCCCGAAAGCUAUUUAGGUAGCGCCUCGUGAACUCAUCUUCGGGGGUAGAGCACUGUUUCGGCUAGGGGGUCAUCCCGACUUACCAACCCGAUGCAAACUGCGAAUACCGAAGAAUGUUAUCACGGGAGACACACGGCGGGUGCUAACGUCCGUCGUGAAGAGGGAAACAACCCAGACCGCCAGCUAAGGUCCCAAAGUCACAGUUAAGUGGGAAACGAUGUGGGAAGGCUCAGACAGCCAGGAUGUUGGCUUAGAAGCAGCCAUCAUUUAAAGAAAGCGUAAUAGCUCACUGGUCGAGUCGGCCUGCGCGGAAGAUGUAACGGGGCUAAACUGUGCACCGAAGCUGCGGCAGCGACGCUUAUGCGUUGUUGGGUAGGGGAGCGUUCUGUAAGCCUGCGAAGGUGUCCUGUGAGGGAUGCUGGAGGUAUCAGAAGUGCGAAUGCUGACAUAAGUAACGAUAAUGCGGGUGAAAAGCCCGCUCGCCGGAAGACCAAGGGUUCCUGUCCAACGUUAAUCGGGGCAGGGUGAGUCGACCCCUAAGGCGAGGCCGAAAGGCGUAGUCGAUGGGAAACGGGUUAAUAUUCCCGUACUUGGUGUUACUGCGAAGGGGGGACGGAGAAGGCUAUGUUGGCCGGGCGACGGUUGUCCCGGUUUAAGCGUGUAGGCUGGUUUUCCAGGCAAAUCCGGAAAAUCAAGGCUGAGGCGUGAUGACGAGGCACUACGGUGCUGAAGCAACAAAUGCCCUGCUUCCAGGAAAAGCCUCUAAGCAUCAGGUAACAUCAAAUCGUACCCCAAACCGACACAGGUGGUCAGGUAGAGAAUACCAAGGCGCUUGAGAGAACUCGGGUGAAGGAACUAGGCAAAAUGGUGCCGUAACUUCGGGAGAAGGCACGCUGACACGUAGGUGAAGUGAUUUACUCA